CUUGUUGUUCUCUUAGAAACUUUCACGAUAAGUAGGAGCAAGCAGCCACCGACCCCCUUGUGCACUGAAAAGAUCCCGACGCCGUUGGAGGAAAGGUUUUCUCAGCUUGUCGAAGUCACGCCGACGUUGCCGGAGAGGAAGAAGCGUCGCUGAGGAGCACCAACAACUAUCCGUUCGUGAUUCUGGCCUUCGUCAUUCAGCAUCUUUGGAGCCCCAAGUUUAAACUUGCUGAAGGUGCUGUAGUUUUGAACUCACUUUGCCGAUUCCAUCUUCGUUGUAGCCAAGAGUCAUCUUUGGUACUUGGUUUGCUUGGUCUUUGAGGAGUCUGGUUACUUUUACAAUCUGAUUAGGCCUCUUUCUCUGAGGUGUAUAGGGAUAUGUUCAUCCCUAUUACUUCUGAUCUGGGACCAAGUCCAUGCUUCCCAAGAAAUCUAGAGCCUUAAGGAAGAGGAAAAAGGUCGACUAUACCGAAAAAUAGCUUGGAGAAAUCUUUAGCUCGGACGGUUUUGUAACACCGAGAUCCAUUUUUUCUACAAGUGAUUUGUCUCAUUUAAUAAAUAAGUAUGAACUUAUUGACGAACUUGGACUUAGAGUCCCUGUUAAUGAUGAGCGAGCUAGCUUCCCACCAUAUGGGUAUACCGCUUGGAGUCCUAUGUAUUGCUAAGGAGGUGCCUUCCUUCCACUUCAUCCGUACUUUGUGGAAAUAUGUGACUAUUUUGGAAUAGCUCAAUUCCAAUUGACGCCGAACAGUUAUAGAUUAUUGGUAAUGCUGCAUAUUCUGUAUAGUGUUAUAUUGGCCUCCCCUUGAUGCUUUGGAGGUUCACUACUUGUUCAAUAUCAAGUCUAACCUUGUAUCCGAUUAUGAAGGAUUUUACCACUUGUGUAGCUAUUUUGGUGGAGAAGUCCUCAGGAGCGGUGUCUCCAACCCUGGUCGUUACUUUAGUCAAUACUUUUUUACCAAUGCCAUCAAGUCUGAGCAUAGGUCAUUCUGUGAUAUUGGUCGUUAUACGCGACUGACUCCAACCUCUAAGAAGCGAGAGCGUCUUUCUUAGUUACGUCAAUUGGGUGGCAAGUAUAGGAAUGCGUCUUUCCUUAUCAAUGAUGACAAUUUACGAUUGGUCGGUCUACUCGAAUCACACCCGUCAUUGGAUCAUCUAUCGCCGCCUCUGGAGUUUGACUACGUUCCAUUUUUUGAGGUUCGAGAGUCUAUAUAUGAGAGGCGAUCGGAGGAGGUUAUUGUUGUUCGUGAAAAGCCUGAGUCAGUUCAUUUUGAGGUUUCAUCUGCUUGUUCUUCCCCAAGCAGUCUUUGUUCUAGGUUUCCCAACUGUUCAGAGUUUGACAUAUCGCAAGUGCCUCUCCCUUCCGAACCUUUUAGUGAUGUGGGAGGUCUUGUUCUAUCCCUUAGAAAUGAGGAACUGUCCCACCCUCAUUGGUUAAAUGAAUACUUUCCAGAGGACACUUUUACUGAUAGUCCUUUGGAGACAUGAAUGCUCAAGCUUUUUUUUUGGUGGCCCUGAGGUUGUAGGUGCAAGGGCUAACAAGAGGAGGAAGCAGUUAGUGAACAAGGAUAAGAAGACCCUUGCAGAGUCUUCUUCUGUUUAUUCAGGCCAGAGUCGGCCUUUGGUUGGGGUUACACUGCCAGCUCCUGCGGUGCCUGCCAGUGUGGUUCCCACGACCAGGUCCUUAUCUCCCACAAGACCUUCUCAUGUUCAAAUGGUGGUCCCCAGAUUUGAGGAGGUUAUUCAGAGUGACCAAAUACGGACAUAAUGGUCUUUCUCCGGAGUUUGUGUCCCUAGUGAGAUCGUUCGCCAUUCUAUUGCCAACAUUGUUCAGACAAUGAUCACCUUGAACAACCUAUCUGAAUAUAUCGAGCAAUUGAAUAGGGAUAAGGAAGAUACAUGUCGUGCCCUCAUGUUUGAGAUAGACACUGUUCAGGGUGAGAGGAACAGUUGUAGGGCUGAGCUCGAGCAACUCAAAAGUUCUUCUUGUACCGAGAUCAAUCAACUAAUGGUUGAGAUUGACCGUCUUCAGAAGUCUUGUGCUGUUGAGGUCGAGCAACUUAAAGCUGAUGCGGAAGCUGAUCGCCUUCAAACCCUUGAAGAGGAAGGAGAGAUCUUAAAUAACAUGUUCUUUUAGGUCUAGAAACACAACCACAAUAUUGAUUUAAUAUUUCUUAAUGGCAAAGAGAAGUCCUUACUAGAGGCUUGCGAACAGAGACUUGUUGAUGAAUAAAACUAUUAUGUUCGCACCUUCUUAGUACAGUCGGGGGAUAGUGAUGUUUCAAGGCCUAAAGAUCUCGCUACCAACACUUCUAUUGACACUUUAGCUGCCUCAGGCGACCAGACCCUUGAGCCAGAGUCCCGAUAACUUAGUCUUUAGCGCACCUCAUGUUGGAGUAUUUUGUACUUGCAUACUCUUGACUCUUUGUUUUCUGUUGUAGUCUGUACUUGCAUGCCAACAAACAAACAAUUUUUUCUUUUGUUCUUAGUGCGAACAGACUAGUUUACCUUUAGUGUGUGAUGCGAACAGAGGAUUUUUGCAUGUACAAGCGAACAAACUAGUUUGCCUUUAGUGUGAUGUGAACAGAGGCUUCUUACAUGUACCAGCAAACAUACUAGUUUGCCUUUUGUGCAUGAUGCCAACAGAGGCUUUUUACAUGUACCAACGAACAUACUAGUUUUCCUUU